GAGUUCAAGAGUACGUGAAACCGUUCAGGAGUAAACCUGAGAAGCCCGAAAUGUCGAAAGGGGAGAUUCAUACGUGUCUCGGAAGUUCGGCGAGUCGGUCAUGCGACGGACGACGAGAUUAUUCACGCCGUAACCGCGCUGCCCGUUUCCGUCCGGCACCGAACGCGUGCACUUCUCCCCCUGUAGGACGUCGCGACCCGUUGGUAGUCGGUUUAAGGGCCGCGCUGGAGACCGGGCGCGUAUAUCGCGUACGGACGCGCGGUUUUGACCGGCUAUAUAAACAAUUUACCGACGGUAUAAUAGAGGCGCGGGGCCGCGAUUUAGUUCGCGUCCGGCCGGCGGCAAGUUAGUACGUUUGUAUACCCGAAUAUCGGACCUGGUGCCGAUUCGGGCACGUACUGCUGUUAGUCGUCGCGUUCUCGGACGGACCCCGAUAUAACACGCCCGUCUGCGACGCUAUAGCUUUGGGUCGUUUCAGGACCCGUCUUGAAACACGGACCAAGGAGUCUAGCAUGUGCGCGAGUCAUUGGGACUCGUACGAAACCUAAAGGCGUAAUGAAAGUGAAAGUCCGUCUAGCGCGGACCGAGGGAGGAUGGGACGUUCCACGGAGCGACCCCGCACUCCCGGGGCGUCUCGUUCUCAUUACGAGAAGAGGCGCACCCAGAGCGUACACGCUGGGACCCGAAAGAUGGUGAACUAUGCCUGGUCAGGACGAAGUCAGGGGAAACCCUGAUGGAGGUCCGUAGCGAUUCUGACGUGCAAAUCGAUCGUCGGAACUGGGUAUAGGGGCGAAAGACUAAUCGAACCAUCUAGUAGCUGGUUC
rnacentral:rRNA from 1 species